rnacentral:rRNA from 3 species
UUGACCUCAAAUCAGGUAGGAUUACCCGCUGAACUUAAGCAUAUCAAUAAGCGGAGGAAA